rnacentral:ncRNA from 1 species
AUUGGUAUUGGGAAUGAGGUCUCCCAAAGCAGCAUGCCUGCUUAAACCGCUUAUUAGGCUGAUGACUUCUGCAUCUUU